AGGCUUAUGUCUUUUAUUAAAACAAGGCUCAAGCCAAAACUAAUCCUCGGGGAUACCUUGGCCGAGGCAUCUAACCGAGUCCGCCAAGGGUGUUAAAAUAUUCACACGUGAAACACAUUUUUAUUUUUAAAACCAGCCGUUCCUUGGCGUUGGCCGAGUUACACAUUCACGUGGGGGUUCGACGUGAAGUGAGCUCUAAUACUACCCCAGGAGUUACCCUCCUCGCCUCUACAACCGGAGUAACUAUAUAACUGGGUUUACCGUGCCCCUCUAAUAGGCAGUCCACGGAAACCCGUCACUGCAGUGACUAACCCACCAAUUUUAAUAAAAUUUCGAC
rnacentral:lncRNA from 1 species